UGCCACAGCCAUAUCAUCCUGCAGCCCAAGACCUGUUACUCUCUGAAGCUAAGCUGGGCCGAGUCUGGUCAGUACCUGGAUGAGAGACUAUGGGCCCUAUCAUACACCUGGCGCAA
rnacentral:rRNA from 1 species